AGACAGCAAAUUAAACACUGAAG
rnacentral:piRNA from 1 species